rnacentral:rRNA from 1 species
CACACCGCCCGUCGCUACUACCGAUUGAAUGGCUCAGUGAGGCGUCCGGACUGGCCCAGAGAGGUGGGCAACUACCACUCAGGGCCGGAAAGUUCUCCAAACUCGGUCAUUUAGAGGAAGUAAAAGUCGUAACAAGGUCUCCGUUGGUGAACCAGCGGAGGGAUCAUUACCGAGUUUACAACUCCCAAACCCCUGUGAACAUACCUCUUGUUGCUUCGGCGGGAUCGCCCCGGCGCCCCCGGGCCCGGACUCCGGCGCCCGCCGGAGACCCCCAAACUCUUUGUUUCCCACUGUGUUACCCUCUGAGUCCCACAAACAAAUGAAUUAAAACUUUCAACAACGGAUCUCUUGGUUCUGGCAUCGAUGAAGAACGCAGCGAAAUGCGAUAAGUAAUGUGAAUUGCAGAAUUCAGUGAAUCAUCGAAUCUUUGAACGCACAUUGCGCCCGCUAGUAUUCUGGCGGGCAUGCCUGUUCGAGCGUCAUUUCAACCCUCAAGCCCCCGGGCUUGGUGUUGGGGAUCGGCCGCCGCAACCCGGUGGCCGGCCCCGAAUCCCAGUGGCGGUCUCGCUGUAGCCUCCCCUGCGUAGUAGCACACCUCGCACUGGAACUCGGCGCGGCCACGCCGUAAAACCCCCCACUUCUGAAGGUUGACCUCGGAUCAGGUAGGAAUACCCGCUGAACUUAAGCAUAUCAAUAAGCGGAGGAAAAGAAACCAACAGGGAUUGCCCCAGUAACGGCGAGUGAAGCGGCAACAGCUCAAAUUUGAAAUCUGGCCCCCGCGGUCCGAGUUGUAAUUUGUAGAGGAUGCUUUUGGUGCGGUGCCUUCCGAGUUCCCUGGAACGGGACGCCAUAGAGGGUGAGAGCCCCGUCUGGUCGGAUACCAAUCCUCUGUAAAGCUCCUUCGACGAGUCGAGUAGUUUGGGAAUGCUGCUCUAAAUGGGAGGUAUAUGUCUUCUAAAGCUAAAUAUAGGCCAGAGACCGAUAGCGCACAAGUAGAGUGAUCGAAAGAUGAAAAGCACUUUGAAAAGAGGGUUAAAUAGUACGUGAAAUUGUUGAAAGGGAAGCGUUCAUGACCAGACUUGGGCUUGGCUAAUCAUCUGGCGUUCUCGCCGGUGCACUUGACCGGCCCAGGCCAGCAUCAGUUCGCUGCGGGGGAGAAAGGCUCGGGGAAUGUGGCUCCCGCGCGGAGUGUUAUAGCCCCCUGCACAAUACCCUGCGGUGGACUGAGGUUCGCGCAUCUGCUAGGAUGCUGGCGUAAUGGUCAUCAAUGACCCGUCUUGAAACACGGACCAAGGAGUCGUCUUCGUAUGCGAGUGUUCGGGUGUCAAACCCCUACGCGUAAUGAAAGUGAACGGAGGUGAGAGCUUAGGCGCAUCAUCGACCGAUCCUGAUGUUUUCGGAUGGAUUUGAGUAAGAGCAUACGGGGCCGGACCCGAAAGAAGGUGAACUAUGCCUGUAUAGGGUGAAGCCAGAGGAAACUCUGGUGGAGGCUCGCAGCGGUUCUGACGUGCAAAUCGAUCGUCAAAUAUGGGCAUGGGGGCGAAAGACUAAUCG